GGGACGGACAGUCGCGCUGCGUGCCCCAACGGGUGCACGGUGAGGAAAGUCCGGGCUCCAUAGGGCAAGGAUAACGGGUAACGCCCGCCGAAGGCGACUUUAGGACAAGUGCAACAGAGAGAUACCGCCCCGUUUCGGGGUAAGGGUGGAAAGGUGAGGUAAGAGCUCACCCGCCGCAUGGGAACAUCGCGGUGCUGUAAACUCUAUCCGGAGCAACACCGUGGAGGAGACAUUGGUCUGCCCGACCGUCUCCGAGGAGGUGGCUUGAGCGUAUCGGCAACGGUGCGCCAAGAUAGAUGACUGUCGAUUACAGAACCCGGCUUACAGUCCCGAUC
rnacentral:RNase_P_RNA from 1 species